AUUGAACGCUGGCGGCAUGCCUUACACAUGCAAGUCGAACGGUAACAGGACUUCGGAUGCUGACGAGUGGCGAACGGGUGAGUAAUACAUCGGAACGUGCCCGAUCGUGGGGGACAACGGAGCGAAAGCUUUGCUAAUACCGCAUGCGAUCUACGGAUGCAAGCAGGGGACCGCACGGCCUUCCGCGGCCGGUGCGGCUGAUGGCAGAUUAGGUAGUUGGUGGGAUAAAAGCUUACCAAGCCGACGAUCUGUAGCUGGUCUGAGAGGACGACCAGCCACACUGGGACUGAGACACGGCCCAGACUCCUACGGGAGGCAGCAGUGGGGAAUUGUGGACAAUGGGCGCAAGCCUGAUCCAGCCAUGCCGCGUGCAGGAUGAAGGCCUUCGGGUUGUAAACUGCUUUUGUGCGGAACGAAAAGACUCCUUCUAAUAAAGGGGGUCCAUGACGGUACCGUAAGAAUAAGCACCGGCUAACUACGUGCCAGCCGCCGCAGUAAAAC
rnacentral:rRNA from 1 species